AUUAAGCGCUGAGGAGGUCUCACAGACCUUUGCCCCCGGAAAAAUGAAAAGAGCGAGACGGCGGGCGACGCCGCCGCCGCCGCAUGGAGGCGGGCGAGCGACGCGGUAGCGGGGGACGAGCGACGCGGCCUCAGGGUCCCAUCGAGCGCGCGAGAGGCUCUGCGAGGCGGCACUGUCGCUGUACCGUGAAGCUGAUCCGCCGAGGGAGCAAUCAACCAUCAGUGGAGGAGGGGACGUAAUCUGAUGAGAUGAUAAUGCAGCUUCCGAAUCAAUUGUAGCCUGCUUCAGUGGCCACGUUGGGGGAUCGAUCCCAUUGUUCCAUUCUCAGCAGAAGAUAAUUGAUAUCUGUUUCUGGUUUUGAGGACUCAAAGGUCAUCGACCCUCAUUGACACAUAUGAACCGACCUACCGACCUGUUGCUAACUCUACUUGAUCAUGCAUGCCCCUGUAUCACAGGAUUUAUUCAUAUCUAUCCACAUAAGUAAAUGUUAUUAAUUUGUGAGCAGUUCCACUUCUACGUACAGUUCCAUAUCAGAACACAACACACGGUUAUGUCCAUUCUUAAA